ensembl:snoRNA
AGUCAGUGAUGAUUUUAAGUAUAAGAGUAGUGGACAGAAGUGAUUUCUGAGUAUGUUUGCACUGAGACU